rnacentral:rRNA from 1 species
GUAAGGGCACAUGGCGGAUGCCUUGGCUCUCGGAGGCGAUGAAGGACGUGAUAAGCUGCGAUAAGCUGCGGGUAGGUGCAAAUGACCUUUGAUCCGCGGAUUUCCGAAUGGGACAACCCGGUACUUUGAAGAAGUAUCAUCCUGCAUUGCAGGAGGCUAACGCAGGGAACUGAAACAUCUUAGUACCUGCAGGAAAAGAAAAUAAACAAUGAUUCCCCCAGUAGUGGCGAGCGAACGGGGAAUAGCCCAAACCAUCCAUGUUACGGCAUGGGUGGGGUUGUAGGACCACGCCGUGGCAAGAAAGUUGGUGAGCAGAAUGUUCUGGAAAGUACAGCCAUAGAGCAUGACAGCUGCGUAUGCGAAGCCAAGCGAAGCCUAGUGGUAUCCUGAGUAGCGCGGAGCACGAGGAAUUCUGCGUGAAUCUGCCGGGACCAUCCGGUAAGGCUAAAUACUCCCGAGAGACCGAUAGUGAACCAGUACUGUGAAGGAAAGGUGAAAAGCACUUCGAACAGAAGAGUGAAAUAGUUCCUGAAACCAUGUGCCUACAAGCGGUCGGAGCACCUUCUGGUGUGACGGCGUGCCUUUUGCAUAAUGAACCUACGAGUUACUUUUUCCGGCGAGGUUAAGGAUUUCAGAUCUGCAGCCGAAGCGAAAGCGAGUCUGAACAGGGCGUAUAGUCGGAAGGAGUAGACGCGAAACCAAGUGAUCUACCCUUGGGCAGGUUGAAGGAUGGGUAACACCAUCUGGAGGACCGAACCAAUAAGCGUUGAAAAGCUUCUGGAUGACCUGAGGGUGGGGGUGAAAGGCUAAUCAAACUUGGAGAUAGCUCGUACUCCCCGAAAUGCAUUUAGGUGCAGCCUUGACUUAUACUGGCAUGAGGUAGAGCGACUGAUAAGAUGCGAGGGCUUCACCGCCUAUCAAGUCUUGACAAACUCCGAAUGCGUGUCAGUUCUAUGUCAGGAGUGAGGGCAUGGGUGCUAAGGUCCAUGUCCUAAAGGAGAACAAUCCGGACCAACAGCUAAGGUCCCGAAAUGAAUACUAAGUUGAACUAACGAAGUCAGAUUGCUAAGACAGCUAGGAUGUUGGCUUGGAAGCAGCCAUUCAUUUAAAGAGUGCGUAACAGCUCACUAGUCGAGGAGUUUGGCGUGGAUAAUAAUCGGGCAUAAGUAUUCUACCGAAGCUUUGGGAUGAGAAAUCAUCGGUAGGGGAGCAUUCCACUCGGCGUCGAAGGUGANNNNNNNNNNNNNNNNNNNNNNNNNNNNNNNCGCCGAAAGACUAAGGUUUCCUGAUCAACGCUAAUCGGAUCAGGGUAAGUCGGGUCCUAAGGCUCAGCCGAACGGCGAGGCCGAUGGCAGAACCGGUUAAUAUUCCGGUACUACCUGUGGGAGUGACGUGGAGACGGAGUCGUGACAGCGCCGCGGACUGACGGAAUAGUCCGUUGAAGGGUGUAGAUGCUGAUUGUUCCAGGCAAAUCCGGAGCAAGAGUCGAACCUGAUAGUAUGGAGCGUUCUUAGAACAAUCCAAUAGUGCGUGUAAUCAUACUUCCAAGAAAAUCCGCUAAACUUAAUCCUGCAGGUACCCGUACCGCAAACGGACACACGUAGUCGGGUUGAAUAUACUAAGGCGCUUGAGUGAUUCACGGUUAAGGAACUAGGCAAACUGACCCUGUAACUUCGGGAUAAAGGGUCCUCGCUUUACGGCGAGGCGCAGAGAAUAGGUCCAGGCAACUGUUUAACAAAAACACAGGGCUGUGCAAAAUUGAAAGAUGAAGUAUACAGCCUGACACCUGCCCGGUGCUGGAAGGUUAAGAGGAGAUGUCAUCGCAAGAGAAGCAUUGAAUUGAAGCCCCAGUAAACGGCGGCCGUAACUAUAACGGUCCUAAGGUAGCGAAAUUCCUUGUCGGGUAAGUUCCGACCUGCACGAAUGGUGUAAUGAUCUGGACGCUGUCUCAACCGUGAGCUCAGUGAAAUUGUAGUAUCGGUGAAGAUGCCGAUUACCCGCGAUGGGACGAAAAGACCCCGUGAACCUUUACUAUAGCUUAACAUUGAAUUUGGGUAAUUGAUGUGUAGGAUAGGCCGGAGGCUUCGAAGCAGGUACGCCAGUAUUUGUGGAGCCGCUGUUGAAAUACGGCCCUUUGAUUAUUUGAGUUCUAACCCGUUGAUGCGGGGACACUGUUUGGUGGGUAGUUUGACUGGGGUGGUCGCCUCCAAAAGUGUAACGGAGGCUUCUAAAGGUGCCCUCACGACGAUUGGUAACCGUCGGCAGAGUGUAAUGGCAUAAGGGCGCUUGACUGGGAGACUUACAAGUCGAUCAGGUAGGAAACUAGAGCAUAGUGAUCCGGUGUUUCUGUAUGGAAAGGACAUCGCUCAAAGGAUAAAAGGUACUCCGGGGAUAACAGGCUGAUCCCUCCCAAGAGCUCAUAUCGACGGAGGGGUUUGGCACCUCGAUGUCGGCUCGUCACAUCCUGGGGCUGGAGAAGGUCCCAAGGGUUGGGCUGUUCGCCCAUUAAAGUGGCACGCGAGCUGGGUUCAGAACGUCGUGAGACAGUUCGGUCUCUAUCUAUCGUGGGCGCAUGAAAUUUGCGUGGCUCUGACACUAGUACGAGAGGACCGUGUUGGACUGACCUCUGGUUUACCGGUUGUGCCGCCAGGUGCAUUGCCGGGUAUCUAAGUCGGGAUUGGAUAAGUGCUGAAAGCAUCUAAGUACGAAGCCAGCCACAAGAUUAGAUUUCUCAGGGUCGUUGUAGACUACGACGUUGAUAGGAUGCAGGUGUACAGGCAGCGAUGUCAUAGCCGAGCAUUACUAAUUGCCCGUCCACUUUUU